AUGAGCCUCGGCCAGCUCGACGAGCACGGGUGCAAGUCCGUGAUCGAGGACGGCGUGCUCUGCCUCUACGACAGGCAGUGCGUGCUCUUGGCACGGGUGCAGCGGACGAGCAACCGGCUCUACGCCGUGGCUCUGAACUUGGCUGCGCCCGUGUGCCUCCUGGCGCAUGGCGGUGACGAAGCGUGGCAUUGGCAUGGACGUUUCGGCCACCUCCACUUCCGGGAGCUGCACGAUCUUGGCGCGAAGGGGAUGGUGCGUGGCAUGCCAGCGAUUCAGCAUGUCGAACAGUUCUGCGAGGGCUGCACACUCGGGAAGAUGCACUGUACGCCGUUCCCGCGCACGUCAAUGUACCGUGCGGAGCAGGGGCUCGAGCUCGUCCACGGCGACCUCUGCGGACCCAUCACGCCGGCGACCACGUCUGGUAACAAGUAUUUUCUGCUCAUCGUUGACGAUCACAGUAGAUAUAUGUGGUUGGAAGUGCUCAGGAGCAAGGACGAGGCGUUCAAAUUCUUCAGAAAGAUCAAAGCAGCUGCGGAGACACAGUGCGGCGCGAAGCUCAGAGCGUUCCAGACCGACCGCGGCGGGGAGUUCAACUCGAAUGAGUUCACCGCGUACUGCAAUGAGCUUGGCAUCCUAAGGAACACGACGACUCCGUAUUCUCCCCAACAGAAUGGAGUCGUCGAGCGCCGCAACCAGUCCGUGGUCGAGAUGGCUCGCAGCCUGAUGAAAAGCAUGGGCGUGCCGAGCACAUUCUGGGGCGAGGCGGUGCGCACGGCGGUGCACUUCCUCAACCGCUCGCCGACGAGGAGUCUACAGGGCAUGACACCCUAUGAGGCGUGGCGCAAGAAGAAGCCCACGGUCGAUUACUUCCGCACGUUCGGCUGCGUUGCGCACGUCAAGCUCGUCGGCCCCGGUGUGACCAAGCUCGCGGACAGGUCACGACCGGGAAUAUUUCUAGGCUAUGAGGCGGGCACCAAGGGCUAUUGGGUGUACGACCCGAUCGGCAAGCGCUUGUACAUCACGCGAGAUGUGCGUUUCGAAGAGGACCAGCGCUGGGACUAGAGCAAGGAUGGCGGCGACUCGGAGCGCACGCACCAGUUCACGGUCGUGUACUCCGACGCGGGCGUGCCCACAACCACGACCUACUCCCUGUCACCGGACCCGGCGACGUCACCUGGCGCACCAACGACGCCAACU
rnacentral:rRNA from 1 species